rnacentral:rRNA from 1 species
CCGGCGACCGGCGCACGGGUGAGUAACACGUAUGGAACCUGCCCGCAGCAGGGGGAUAAGCGGAAGAAAUUCCGUCUAAUACCGCGUAACACCGCGGAGGGGCAUCCCUCGGCGGUUAAAGAUUCAUCGGCUGCGGAUGGCCAUGCGGCGCAUUAGCUAGACGGCCGGGGUGACGGCCCACCGUGGCGACGAUGCGUAGGGGUUCUGAGAGGAAGGUCCCCCACACUGGUACUGAGACACGGACCAGACUCCUACGGGAGGCAGCAG